AAAAAAUCCCCUAGCCCAGUUUUUGGGCAGAUGCCAGACUUUUAUUCUGAAGCGUGGGCCACAACCUAUGAGGUAAUCUUUGGAGCUUCAUUCUGAGGCGGAAUCCCAUUGGCCAGUUGGGGAAGCCCCUCCCAGGAUUCCUGGCGCUCCGCCUUCCCUGAAGCCUAUAAAAGCGCAGGUCCCCGCCUCGGCAGCCACGGGACACCUGCAUCUGCCAACAAGACUGGAAGCAGAAAGGGACAGAGACGGCGAAGUUUGACGGUCUGGAAAGCAGAGACCAGCAGGGCUGACUGCUUGGGAGCACCAAAUAUCCGGACAGCGCCUCUCGGGAGGUCCGAGAAGAGAACCGCGAUCUGUUUCAGCACCGGGGCUCAGGACAGUUCCCAGCGGGCUCCGUUUCGUCUCCAGAACCCUGGACAGCUCCUCCAGUAGAGACGGGGUUUCACCAUGUUGGCCAGGCUGGUCUCAAACUCUUGACCUCUUCAUCCGUCCACCUCAGCCUCCCAAAGUGCUAGGAUUACAGGCGUGAGUCACUGCGCCUGGCCCAAGUCCGGAAUUUUCAACAGGACAUGGGUGUUACUGUGCCCAUGUGACAUUUGGGGAACCCAAGGCCCUGAGAAAGGCAGAAAAAUAACCCACGCAGGGACUCUCAGCCCACAAGUGAAGCUGAGAACCGGGAAUGGAAAACAGGGAGGCAGCACAGAGGCAGGAAACUCAGGUGUCAUAGCUUGGCUCAGCCUCAGGGCUUUUGCCUCUGCUGUUCCUGCAGCUUGGAAUGCACUCCCUCCACCUCCAACCAGAGCUCCCCACAACUGACCCUGCCUUCUUCUGCAAGCUCCAUUUCAUCAAGGGAAACGAUCCUUAUUGCCUCACCAUUUCCCACGUGAAGUCUGUAUUGACAUUCUCAUAGACCUGGGAUAUUGUGUCUGCAGCACAUAGUCCAAUUAUUUUCAUGUUAUCUACUGACAGGUCUAUUUGUCUCCCUGUUACACUGUGAGCUCCGUGAGGGCAGAAACAAUGUUAGUAUUUUCACUGCUGUGUCCCCAGCGCCUGGUCCGGGGCCCGGCACACAGCAGGCAUAUAAUAAGCAUGUGUUGAAUCAAUAAAGGCAUCAAAGAAUAAACCAAUACAUCAAUCAAUAAAUGAAUGAAUGGCCUCAGCACACACAGGAAGAUCCUUCUUCUAGGUCUCCCCCAGAGAGAUACUGGAGGGCAAUGGUUGCUGGAGGUGUUUAUUGGGGAAGCAUAAUUGAAUUUGUGGACACUUAAGGGCCGGCCAGCCAACUCACAGCCCCAAGAGAGAGAGCCAGGCUCAUUUAAUUAGCAAUUACAAGGCACUGAUUCCUCAUUAGCUCUGGCAACCCUCGUCUCCCUCCUCAGCCCCAGACAAAUGAAAUCUUUCUCUCUCUCCCAGGAGUACUGCCUCAGUGGGUCCAUUAACAAGCAGAGAAAAUGAGAUUAGAAGACACCUAAAUGCCAGAGGCACUUUAUGAAUGGGCUGAGCAGAGGGAGGUUCAAUGUCUGGGUUAGGUCUAAUUGUGGGAGGUUUCCUGGUCUAUUUAGAAUUGCCCCCUGGGAAUGCAAGGUCUUUCAGAAAGGAAAAGGCACACAGAUAUUGCCUUCUGGGGUCCUCAAUGGAGGAGGACAUUCUGCUAUGGGUGUCUCCCAGUCACCCCAAAUUAAUCAUUUCAAAGUGAACACUCAAUCUGCCCAGCCCCUAGCUUCCUCCCCUGACAUGCCCAUGAAUAUGACAGUCCCUCUACAUGCCCAAGAUCCUCCCCUCCUCAUCCACUCCCCAUGAUCCCCAAGAUGAGUCACUGUGCUCAAAUCCAUCCUCUCUCCUCCAGCCCUCUGCCUCCAUGACCUCCCUCCAGCCCUCUGCCUCCAUGACCUCCGCCUCCCUGCAUGUCCGGAUCUCCUCACUGUCUCCCCUCUGAGCAUACACACACAUACAGCCUGUUCAUUCUCUACAUGCAGCGAGGGGACUUUCCAGAACACACAUCUGACCAAGUUCCACUCCUGCCUGUCACCCUUCCAAGAGCCCCACUGACUGCAGAAUAACGUUCAAAUAUCCGGUUGGGCGUGGUGGCUCAUGCCUGCAGUCCCAGCACUUUGGGAGGCCAAGGUGGGUGGAUCACUUGCACAGGACCACAGGCGUGUGCCACCACACCCAGCUAAUUUUUAUAUUUUUGGUAGAGACGGAGUUUCACCAUGUUGGCCAGGCUGACCUCAAGUGAUCCACCCGCCUCAACCUCCCAAAGUGCUGGGAUUACAGGCAUGAGUCACUGCACCGGUCUAAUUUUUUCAGAGUCUCACUCUUGCCCAGGCUGGAGUGCAGUAGCAUGAUCUCGGUUCACUGCAACCUCUGCCUCCUGGUUUCAAGCGAUUCUCUUGGCUCAGCCUCCUGAGCAGCUGGGAUUACAGGCACGUGCCACCACACUUAGCUAAUUUUUGUAUUUUUAGUAGAGAUGGGGGUCUCACCAUGCUGGCACAGUUGGUCUUGAACUCCUGACCUCAAGUGAUCCACCCACCUCGGCUUCCCAAAGUGCUGGGAUUACAGACGUGAGCCACCGCGCCCGGCCAGCCUUUAUUGAUUCUUUUUAAAGCCACACUAACCUUUUAUUUUCCCCCAAAGACCCCUGGGAGCCCUCAGUUUUUCCUGGCAGUUUCAUCUUUGUACCCCUGACCUCCCCACACACACGCCUAGCUCAGUGCUGGCAUCCAAUAUUCACUUUGGGUAUAAAUGCUUGUGCCUGAGCCUAUCACCUUCAUCACACAGAAAAUCCUGGAGGCCACACACCCCUGUAAAGACGAGCCAUUACCCACAGAGGUCCAACCAACUUACCACCCUCUCCCAGCCACCCCCAAGGACCCAGCUUGCAGCUGCCUGCUCAAUGGCUUUAGAAACUAAAAAAGGUGAAUGAGUUUCCAUCACUGCCCUCCUGGGCUUUGCCGUUAUGGCUGGUUAACUUGACAGAAGAACACAUUAUACUUCAUUUUUUGCUGUUGUCUUGUUGGAAAAAAAAGUGACAGCUGGGUGCAGUGGUGCACACUGUAGUCACAGCUACUCAGGAGAAUUGCUUGAGCACAGGAAUUGGAGGCUACACUGAGCAAUGAUCGCCUCACUGCACUCCAGCCUGAACGACAGAGCAAGACCCUCUUAAAAAAUACGUGAGAGAGGGUGCGUAUGAUGGCUCAUGCCUGUAAUCCCAGCAGUUUG
rnacentral:lncRNA from 1 species